rnacentral:rRNA from 1 species
UACGUAGGGGGCAAGCGUUGUUCGGAAUUACUGGGCGUAAAGGGCUCGUAGGCGGCCAACUAAGUCAGACGUGAAAUCCCUCGGCUUAACCGGGGAACUGCGUCUGAUACUGGAUGGCUAGAGGUUGGGAGAGGGAUGCGGAAUUCCAGGUGUAGCGGUGAAAUGCGUAGAUAUCUGGAGGAACACCGGUGGCGAAGGCGGGUCUCUGGGCCGAUACUGACGCUGAGGAGCGAAAGCGUGGGGAGCGAACAGG